UUACGGUCAUAUCACGUUGAAACACUAGUUACCGUACUAUCCGCGUAAUUAAGCAACGUCGAGCCUGAUCAGUAUCUAGAUGGGUGACCUCUUAAGAAUACCAGGUGCUGUAAU